rnacentral:rRNA from 1 species
GUGGGGAAUCUUAGACAAUGGGGGAAACCCUGAUCUAGCCAUGCCGCGUGAGCGAUGAAGGCCUUAGGGUUGUAAAGCUCUUUCAGAUGGGAAGAUAAUGACGGUACCAUCAGAAGAAGCCCCGGCUAACUCCGUGCCAGCAGCCGCGGUAAUACGGAGGGGGCUAGCGUUGUUCGGAAUUACUGGGCGUAAAGCGCACGUAGGCGGACCAGAAAGUCAGAGGUGAAAUCCCAGGGCUCAACCUUGGAACUGCCUUUGAAACUCCUGGUCUUGAGGUCGAGAGAGGUGAGUGGAAUUCCGAGUGUAGAGGUGAAAUUCGUAGAUAUUAGGAAGAACACCAGUGGCGAAGGCGGCUCACUGGCUCGAUACUGACGCUGAGGUGCGAAAGCGUGGGGAGCAAACAGGAUUAGAUACCCGGGUAGUCC